AUGAAAUCCACAUAGUAGAAUUGUACUUUAUGGCUGUAAAACUCCUCAGUACACACUGAAUACAAUUUUCUCAGAAAGACAUGAACAUUUUCACACUUUCUCUUUAUUUAAACCAGGGGUGCCCAAAUCCAGGCCUCGAGGGCCAAUGUACGACAUGUUUCAAACCAACCUGCAGUUGAAGCUACCCAUUGGCUGAACAUUCCUGAUCAAGGAAGUAGCUGCUGAGCUGCAAGGCUGACUUUUGUCCAAGUGUGCAUGAAGAUGCAACGCCGCAGUUAAGCAACGUAUUACCUGGUUGCAUGAUUGAAGAUAAUAAAGCUGAAGAAUGCUGCGAGAGGUGAGAGUGCAGGAAUCAAAAGAGAUGGAUGAGCUGUUUUUGCUCGUCCACUUUGUCCACAGGACUUGAGCCAGAUUCAGGAAAAGGUACGGCUGCUGGAGCCUGAUAAGUGUGUGAAGGAAGUGGAGAGAGCGCUGGGGCAGGAAUCACCCUGCAGGCAGGAAAAGGACUGUGGAGGUGAUGGCUGGUGGAGGUGGAGGGGUCUCGGCUCCUGUCUGAUAGCCUGUUCAACAAACGCAGACAAAAACACGCUCGGCUCUGCAGGGCAUAGGUUCUUGUUCCCAUCGGCUAUUGUAGGGAAAGAGCACAGCAAGAGAGGAGUCGGAGCCAAAAGCAAAAAAAAUCUACACACAUGUAGGUGGAAUCUUGCUAAAAAUCUUUAAUCACAUGCAGCGGGGCAGCUGGGAUUGCAAACGAGCAGCCAAAUGCAGAGACAAAAACCACCUUUUACUUCAAAGAUUGUUUUGGAAAGAACCAGGAAGCUCCAAGAACAUUAUUUACUGUCUCCAGCCUAAUGUUUGAUUCAAAAACUUUUUUUUUACUCAGUUCCUGGAGACUGAAUUCAUGGCAACACUCACAUUUCUGCAUGUGCUGCUUUCCACUCUCCGAAGAGCAAAGGAUUAUGGGCAUUCAACCUAAGCAGACGGGCUUGCGUGUUCUCAUCCAAACAGCUAAAGGAGCUUUGACCUCAGCGAUGGAGCUACAGCUGGUUUAAAUGUCAGCCUGACUCAAACAAAGAGUAGAAAUGUGGAUCUGAGACCACCAACGUAACAGAAUUGAUGGCGUUCACGUGUUUUCUGGUUUCUUUCAAUACCUGUCAGAUCAAGAAUCAAAGUCAGAAAAAGCACAAAUCUGCAUUGCAUGUUCUUAAACACACUUGCGUUGUAAUAUAAAAAACAUAUUGGAACUUUUUGAAAAUAGCAUCCAGUUGUGGUCAUUUUGUGAUUUUUCUAACAGCACACACUGUUAAAAAAGUCAUGUCACUCAACAAGAGUCUUUUGUUUUUAGUCACUUGAGAAAACCUGAUUAAAAAAAAAAAAUAAUAAUAAUAAUAAUAAUAAUUGGACUACACACAUUGAUUCCACUCCUUGCAGCGUCCAUCCAACACUCAACAGCACUGGAACACGUCCACACUCAUUUCAGCCAACACCAAUAUUUGGAGCAAAAAAAAA